rnacentral:rRNA from 1 species
GGUAAUGGCUCACCAAGGCGACGACGGGUAGCCGGCCUGAGAGGGCGACCGGCCACACUGGGACUGAGACACGGCCCAGACUCCUACGGGAGGCAGCAGUGGGGAAUAUUGCACAAUGGGCGCAAGCCUGAUGCAGCGACGCCGCGUGAGGGAUGACGGCCUUCGGGUUGUAAACCUCUUUCAGCAGGGAAGAAGCGAGAGUGACGGUACCUGCAGAAGAAGCGCCGGCUAACUACGUGCCAGCAGCCGCGGUAAUACGUAGGGCGCAAGCGUUGUCCGGAAUUAUUGGGCGUAAAGAGCUCGUAGGCGGCUUGUCGCGUCGGUUGUGAAAGCCCGGGGCUUAACCCCGGGUCUGCAGUCGAUACGGGCAGGCUAGAGUUCGGUAGGGGAGAUCGGAAUUCCUGGUGUAGCGGUGAAAUGCGCAGAUAUCAGGAGGAACACCGGUGGCGAAGGCGGAUCUCUGGGCCGAUACUGACGCUGAGGAGCGAAAGCGUGGGGAGCGAACAGGAUUAGAUACCCUGGUAGUCCACGCCGUAAACGGUGGGCACUAGGUGUGGGCAACAUUCCACGUUGUCCGUGCCGCAGCUAACGCAUUAAGUGCCCCGCCUGGGGAGUACGGCCGCAAGGCUAAACUCAAGGAAUUGACCGGGGCCGCACAAGCGGCGGAGCCAUGUGGCUUAUUCGACGCACGCGAGAACCUUACCAGGCUUGACAUACACCGGAAG